GAUGAACGCUAGCGGUAUGCCUAAUACAUGCAAGUCGAGCGAUCAGACCAGGAGCUUGCUCCUCUGACGUUAGCGGCGGACGGGUGAGUAACACGUGCACACCCUACCUAUAAGACUGGGAUAACUUCGGGAAACCGGCGCUAAUAUCGGGCAAUAUAUUCAACCGCAUGGUUCAAUAUAGAAAGCGGGUUUUGCUGUCACGUACAGAUUGAUCCGCGGCGCAUUAGCUAGGUAGUAAGGUAACGGAUUACCAAGGAAACGAUGCGUAGCAGACCUGUGAUGGUGAUCGGCCACACUGGAACUGAGACACGGUCCAGACUCCUACGGGAGGCACCAGUAGGGAAUCUUCCGCAAUGGGCGAAAACCUGACGGAGCAACGCCGCGUGAGUGAUGAGGGUCUUCGGAUCGUAAAACUCUGUUAUUAGGGAAGAACAAGUGUGUACGUAACGAUGCACGUCUUGACAUUACCUAAGCAGAAAGCCACGGCUAACUACGUG
rnacentral:rRNA from 1 species